rnacentral:rRNA from 1 species
AUUGAACGCUGGCGGCAGGCCUAACACAUGCAAGUCGAACGAGAGGCGGAAGGGUGAGUAAUGUCUGGGAAACUGCCUGAUGGAGGGGGCUAACUACUGGAAAAGGUAGCUAAUACCGCAUAACAUCAGGUGUGCCCAGAAGGGAUUAGCUAGUUGGUGGGGUAACGGUUCACCAAGGCGACGAUCCCUAGCUGGUCUGAGAGGAUGACAGCCACACUGGAAAUGAGAAACGGUCCAGACUCCUACGCGAUGCAGCAGUGGGGAAUAUUGCACAAUGGGCGCAAGCCUGAUGCAGCCAUGCCGCGUGUAUGAAGAAGGCCUUCGGGUUGUAAAGUACUUUCAGCGGGGAGGCGUUACCCGCAGAAGAAGCACCGGCUAACUCCGUGCCAGCAGCCGCGGUAAUAC